AUCUGUCCAAUUCCCUAGUUUUAGAUCUCUCUUCUCCCUAUUGGAGGAAACUGGAUGCCCUAACAGCUCACCUAUCUUAACAGAUAAUAGGAAGAAAGAGGGCUUAAUGAUGCCUAUGACACAGCUACCUGUCCAUCUCACAGAUUACACACCUUACACUGAGUACCAUUAUAUAAACAGGUUCCCUUCUGUCCAUCUCAAACAUCACACAC